AUUUAUGAGUAAUUACUUCUAAACUCGAGCGUAUGAUUAUUUUAGUUCGUAUUAUGUGAUGAGGCCGUUAGCAACUGUUGCCAAGAAGGUAACAACGCCGCCAUUACGAAAGUUGGUUGGGUCUGUCAACAAACCGACAUUGAAGGUGAAUUAGUUUGAAACAUAGUUUUUUUUAUAUAAUUGUGUGUGAUUGUACAUUAGGCUAACCUGACAUCAUCAUCGUAUGAUAUAAAUAAUAACGCAAUGUUUACUGAGACGAAUAAUUGGUUGAAUGCAAAAUGGCGAUUGAAUAUCUAAAGGAUGGAUCGUUUUCUACCUUAUUAAACGCAUUUACUGAUAACAGCCAUAUCAUACAUCCUUACUUGGUUGCUAUGUUCACCAGUGCAGAGUUUGGGCCUUGUUGCCAUAGCAACUCAGAGCUUCAUGCCAGACAUGCAGGCCCUCAACCUAAGCAGGAUACAACAGAACUCACCUGCUUCUCAACAACAGUCAACACAGGGUGCAACUAGUAUAGUACAAUCUAGUCAACAAUCUCAGCAGAAUCAAUGUGUUUAAAUCAUGCUUUACUAUAUCAAGUGUCCUGUUAUGAAGAUGUCUAUCAUCAUAAUUUGAAAUGGAAAUAAUGAUUUCUCGGACUCAAACACAAGUAUCCUCUAGCCAGUCUGCGUCUGUUCAGACCGUAGUUUCAGUAGCCCAGAGCCAGCAACAGUUACAGGCAUCUCAAGGAUCCUCAACACCUUCCACAGUUGCAGUAACUCAAGUUUCUGUGCCUGUUGUGCAUUCUCCUUCUCAACAACAACAAUCACAGAGCCAGCAACAAAGUGGGACUGUAGUUUCGACCCCAGGCACUCCUCAGUUUAUUGCAGUUGCAGGUCUGUUUUCAUUAUAAAACAAUUUUAAAAUAUUUUCUCUUAAUUAUUUAUGAUACAUUUUUAUGAGUUGCAUCUACUUUCAUAAUAUUUGAUUUGAUAUAUGAAGUUUAACAAAAUACUAUAUUUUGCUUUUUGAU
rnacentral:lncRNA from 1 species